ensembl:snoRNA
GGUCCCCCGUGAUGGCAGCACUGGGCGCUGACCCCCCUGAUGACGUCAGUGCCCCCCCCGGGGGGGCCUUGACCCUCCGGGGGGGUCUGAGGGGACC